GGUGAGUGGCGCGCGGUUGAGUAACACAUGAGAACGUGCCCUUCGGUUCGGAAUAACGUCGGGAAACUGACGCUAAUACCGGAUACGCCCCCUGGGGGAAAGAUUUAUCGCCGAAGGAGCGGCCCGCGUCCGAUUAACUAGUUGGUGGGGUAAUGGCCCACCAAGGCGACAAUCGGUAGCUGGUCUGAGAGGAUGAUCAGCCACCCUGGGACUGAGACACGGCCCAGACUCCUACGGGAGGCAGCAGUGGGGAAUAUUGGACAAAGGGCGCAAGCCUGAUCCAGCCAUGCCGCGUGAGUGAUGAAGGCCUUCGGGUUGUAAAGCUCUUUCGCACGCGACGAUGAUGACGGUAGCGUGAGAAGAAGCCCCGGCUAACUUCGUGCCAGCAGCCGCGGUAAUACGAAGGGGGCUAGCGUUGUUCGGAAUUACUGGGCGUAAAGGGCGCGUACGCGGCCUUGUAAGUCAAGCGUGAAAGCCCCGGGCUCAACCUGUGAAUUGCGCUUGAGACUGCGAGGCUUGAGUUCCGGAGAGGUGGGUGGAAUUCCCAGUGCAGAGGUGAAAUUCGCAGAUAUUGGGAAGAACACCGGUGGCGAAGGCGGACCACUGGACGGACACUGACGCUGAGGCGCGAAAGCGUGAGGAGCAAACAAGAUUAAAUACCCUGGUAGUCCACGCUGUAAACGAUGCCGGCUAGACGUUGGGGUUCCUAGAACUUCGGUGUUGCAGCUAACGCAUUAAGCCGACCGCGUGGAGAGUACGGCCGCAAGGUUGAAUCUCAAAGGAGUUGACGGGGGCCCGCACAAGCGGUAGAACAUGUGGUAUAAUUAGAAGCAACGCGCAGAACCUUACCAUCCCUUGACACGCCCGGACCGCUCCAGAGAUGGGAUUUUCCUUUCGGGGACCGAGACACAGGUGCUGCAUGGCUGUUGUCAGCUCGUGUCGUGAGAUGUUGGGUUAAGUCCCGCAACGAGCGCAACCCCCACUGUCAGUUGCCAGCAUUCAUUUGGACAUUAUGGCAGAACCGCCGGUGACAAGCCGGAGGAAGGCGGGGAUGACGUCAAGUCUUCAUGGCCCUUACGGGUUGGGCUACACACGUGCUACAAUGGUGGUGACAGUGGGCAAGGAUCCCGGGAGGGUGAGGGAAUUCCCAAAAGCCAUCUCAGUUCGGAUUGCACUCUGCAACUCGGGUGCAUGAAGUUGGAAUCGCUAGUAACCGCGGAUCAGCACGCCGCGGUGAAUACGUUCCCGGGCCUUGUACACACCGCCCGUCACACCAUGGGAGUUGGCUUUACCCGAAGCCGGUGCGCCAACCGCAAGGAGGCAGCCGACCACGGUACGGUCAGCGACUGGGGUGA
rnacentral:rRNA from 1 species